UACAGAGGUCUCAAGCGUUGUUCGGAUUCAUUGGGCGUAAAGGGUGCGUAGGCGGCGCGGUAAGUCGGGUGUGAAAUCUCGGAGCUUAACUCCGAAACUGCAUACGAUACUGCCGUGCUUGAGGACUGGAGAGGAGACUGGAAUUCCUGGUGUAGCGGUGAAAUGCGCAGAUAUCAGGAGGAACACCGGUGGCGAAGGCGGCAUCCUGGACCAAUACUGACGCUGAGGAGCGAAAGCCAGGGGAGCAAACGGG
rnacentral:rRNA from 1 species